rnacentral:rRNA from 1 species
UACGAAGGGGGCUAGCGUUGUUCGGAAUUACUGGGCGUAAAGCGCACGUAGGCGGCUACUUAAGUUAGGGGUGAAAUCCCAGAGCUCAACUCUGGAACUGCCUUUAAUACUGGGUAUCUCGAGUCCGGAAGAGGUGAGUGGAAUUCCGAGUGUAGAGGUGAAAUUCGUAGAUAUUCGGAGGAACACCAGUGGCGAAGGCGGCUCACUGGUCCGGUACUGACGCUGAGGUGCGAAAGCGUGGGGAGCAAACAGG